rnacentral:rRNA from 1 species
CUACACUUCGACGGUCUUCUGGUUGAGCGCCGUGUACCUCCACCUCUCCUUCUCCACGAAGUCGGCGUCCAAGAACUUGGCCACGAACGCCCACAGCUUGUACGCGUCCUCGAAGUUGCUCAAGAACCCCAGCGACGCAUUCACCACGUGGAUCCCCGCCUCGCCGCCGCCGUCGCUUGCCUGCUCAAGGACGGCGCUCCUGUCGGCCUCGUACUUGUCGGUGAACCAGAUGUUGCGCAGGAAGCCGCAGGUGAGGGAGAUGCCCUGCCGGUCGGCAAGCUUCUGCACCAGCGCCGGCGCCACCUUCUCCCCCUUCCAGUCGUACACGUUGAACGCCAGCGAGGGCCCCCGCUCGAACUUGACGCGCGGUCCGUACACCCGCACCAGCUGCUUCCCGCCGCCGUGCUCCGGGUGCGGGUGCCGCAGCUUCUGCAUCGCCACCACCAGCCAGUUGCUGAUGCACCGCAGCCGGUUGCCGAUGGCGAUGAGGCCCAGCGCGUCCGCGUGGUCCAGCCCCCUGCACUCCACCUCCAGCAUGCGCUCCUCCUCUGCUUCGACUGCUGCCGGCGCCGGCCAUGGCCGAGUGUCUUCUUCGGCUUCGGAUGGCCUACGGUCCACCUCGCAAAUUUCGGGCGUGUCGCCGUUCUCGGCCUCGUCGGUCCUGCGACCGGUGGCGGUGGCGCUGAGCGGACCGGAAAAGGAGCAGGUGGUAUCAACAUCGUCCGCCGUUGGCGGGUCGGCCGCUUUGGGGAAGGUGAGCGAGUGCUCCAGGUCGGUGGAAUAGUCGUCGCGGAGCGACCACCGCCGCGCCGGAACGAUGCUGACGAUGCCGAUGCUGCGCGCGACCGCGGAGCGCUCGAGCGCGCCGACGCUGGCCUUCUUGACGAACAGCCCGGCGAAGCCCGAGGGGUUCUCGCCGAACACCUUGAAGAAGUUGCAGACGAUGAAGUCCGGGCGGAGGAGGGAGAGGCCGAGGGUGUCGAGGUCCUUGGCGCCGAGCGCGCACGCGUCCAGCGCCACGUGCCACCCCUGCUCCGCGGCGGCGCUCAUCCAGAGGUACGGGUACCUCGCGCCGGUCAUCCGGGACACCAGCGGAAACACGAAGAGGCCGCGGCCGCGCUGCCGCCGCCGCCCACGGAGCAGCUUCUUGCGGAGGUCUGCGGCGUGGACGCGCAUGCUCGGCCACGCGAAGCUCGCGUUCAUGACCUCCGCGCCGCGGCUGCGCGCGCUCUGAGCCAUGGCACCCACCGCCUCGCUCUCGUAGUCGUACACGGAGAGCAGCUUCUUCCUGCCGCCGCCGGGAGUGAAGGAGUAGGACUCCGCCAGGAGCCGGAAGGCUGUGGUCCGGUUCGCCGUGCACACCAUGGUAUACUCGUCCUCGGGGAUCUUAAGGGACGCCAUGAUGCGCCUCGUAACGGCGCCGCUGAUGCCCCCCGCCGCGGAUGCCGCGGCAGUGCCGUCCCCGCAUUGCUGCACCUGCGACCGCAGGCUCGCGGACCUGUACGCGAUGUCGAAGAAGGGCGGCUGCCACGCCGAUGGCUCCGCCGGAGCUGA